rnacentral:lncRNA from 1 species
UUCAUUACAUUUCAUUCGGCUCUUAUAGCCGAUUUCAAUACUAUUUUCUACUGUCUUGCUUCUGUGUCUGUCUCCUUUUUGUCCUGUUUGCAGGUUUUGGCAAAGUCAACGAGCAUUGGAGGGAUAACCUUGGCCAUUUUGGUGCAAGGCUGACAAGCGGUGGCAGAGGAGGUGUACGGCAGCACAUGGGAGCGGCGCAUGAGCAUUAGGGUUAGGUUAGGGUUUCAAUUUUACUGAAACUGAGUUUAAGUUGUGGGCCACUUGGGCCACUAGGUUUUUUUAUUUUUGGGCUUGUAAUUCAUUUUUAGACUGUUUAAUUAUUUUGGAGAUUGGGUUGCUUUUGGUUUGGGCCCGGGCAAAAUAUGGGCUUUACA